rnacentral:lncRNA from 1 species
UGUCAUUUUAUGUUAUUUUAGGAAAAUCAUUUUUAAUUUUUCUUUUUGCCACAUGCUACCUUUUAAUGUUAUGGAUACGGUAAUUUGGAUAUAACUAUAUCGGUUUAUGUUAUUCUAGUAAUAUUGAAUUUUAGUUUUUUUACGCCGAUACGGGGAAAUUGGACUGGCGUUUUCGCCGUUUACAUGAAGGCACGUUUUAUUGGUCCUACCGUCUCUCAAUACUGUCAAAACUGGAUUACGGGAUGUUCUUUUCAGUAAAUUCUAAGGUGAACAAAACAUGAAUAAAAACUAAUCCAUGCAGGUUUCAUAUUAUUUAUAUUUUGUUUAUCUGUAAAGAGAACGAAUAAACUAAGUUGAGGAAAACGGGGAAAUUAUGGAACGCCAUGACUGCCUUAUGUUAAUGAUCAGCAUUAUAUGCAGUGUUAACAUCAUUAUAUGCAGUGCUCACAUAAUUAUAUGCAGUGCUCACAGCAUUAUAUGCAGUGCUCACCGAACAUUAUAUGAAGUGCUCACAACAUUAUACGCGGCAGUGGUCCAAACAUUAUAUGCAGUGGUCACAACAUUAUAUGAAGUGCUCACAACGUAAAUAUGAAUUCACUAUCAUAAUCAAAAGAUUUGCCAGGAAAAAGAAUAAAAAUUAGUUAAGUAUUUUGCCAACGGUAGGACGGAUAAAUUUUCUGGUACUAAGUGCACCGUUUUGGAGUAUAAAACACUGAAAAAUUUGUAUUUGUUUGCUUCUUUUUGGUAUAAAAAAUUAAAGCUUUAUAUCAGUAAAUCGUUUCAGAAGCGAUACCCUCAUCAAACCGCUAGAAAUAGUCUAAAUUGAAGGAAUUAUAGACUUGUUUAUUUAUUUUUUCCUUUCUUUCCGCUUCGUUAGUACCCAAUUGCCGGUGGCGAUGAAUGAUACACAGUGAUCCUGAACCCUUUAAAAGAUCAAUCGAAGAAAGAAAAAAAAUCAAGCAUAUUCUUAUGACGUCUGUUGAAAUUAAACCUAGUAUUUGUAGAUAUUCCCUAGUGUUGUUCUCUAAACAGCAAAACUUGAAAAAAAAGUCCUAGUCUAUCAGAAAAAUUUCCGGAAACAAGUCCUGAAACGAGUUAUAUAUUAUGCAUAGUACAUAGUUUCCCGCCGCCUGUCAAAGGGCCCGAGACCACAAUUAAUUCCUCUAUUAGUUCUUUAUAACGUUUUGUCGCAUUAAAAAAAAAUUGAACUGUUCUUUUUGUCUAAUUUUUUGUGUGUGUAAUGUACAGUACAAGUCCAAAAAUAUGUCCAAGUUUCAGAAACAUUGCAUGUUUACAACUUACAAAUUUAGCCAAUACACAUCCAUACCCCUAUGGACAAGUCAAGAGAUGUUCCGAAAACUGUAAAUAUCACCUUUUUGCACCUGACCUAAUCAC